rnacentral:rRNA from 1 species
AGGACGAACGCUGGCGGCGUGCUUAACACAUGCAAGUCGAGCGGAAAGGCCCUUCGGGGUACUCGAGUGGCGCACGGGUGAGUAACACGUGGAUCAUCUACCUUUUAGUGGGGAAUACCUCUGGGAAACCGGAGAUAAUACCGCAUAAGCUCGUAAGAGGAAAGCAGCAAUGCGCUGAAAGAGGAGUCCGCGGCUGAUUAGCUAGUUGGUGAGGUAACGGCCACCAAGGCGAAGAUCGGUA